rnacentral:rRNA from 1 species
UACGUAGGGGGGCUAGCGUUGUCCGGAUUUAUUGGGCGUAAAGAGCGUGUAGGCGGCCAGGUAGGUCCGUUGUGAAAACUCGAGGCUCAACCUCAAGCUGUCGGUGGAAACCACUGGCUAGAGUCCGGAAGAGGAGAGUGGAAUUCCUGGUGUAGCGGUGAAAUGCGCAGAUAUCAGGAGGAACACCCGUGGCGAAGGCGGUUCUCUGGGACGGUACUGACGCUGAGACGCGAAAGCGUGGGGAGCGAACAGG